UCUUUACAUCAAUCAUAGGGCCUCUUCCUGAUUCUUACUAAUCACGGAAAUUUCAACAACUUAGCAUGUCAAUGCUCUUUAACAUGUCUUCAAAUGUGGCAUUAGGCAAUGAUUAACUAAAUCAUGCCGUAUUGUCCUCAACUGAUCUUUUACACUUAGAUCUUGAGGAGAAGGCCGUUUGUGAACUCAAAACAUAAGUUCGUGCAGGAAAUUAGAUUUCCGCGCAGCAUGACCUUCAGUUACUAGAACAGUCGUAACUUCCUCUAGGAAAUACAUAUGAACGAACCGUAAACGGUUUUGGAAACAAGACUCAUUUAACUUUCCAACUGUAUAUUACACACGUUCUGGUUCGUCAGGAGCUAUUCACAAAGUCCCGUCGAAGUUGACUGCUUUGCCAAAAUCAGAUUCUCGGACAGAUUCGUCCUACUUUACGAAAACGGCCAUAACUCACUCAAUAUGAUAGGUAUGAUCAAAUGGUUUGUGUCCCUAGAAAGUCGACACAUAGAUAUUUCCAAUGGUACCAAUUUCACCAUUUUCCAGUGAGUGAGAUUUCCUGUAGGUCCUGUGGAAGUUGGCCUACGAAACUUGGCAGAUUCUGAUUUCGCUAUUGAUGUGUCUUUCUUAUGUAGGGAUAAAAUAAGCCUCAACCUUUCAUACCAUUAAGUAUUGAAAAAGGAGUUACUGCCAUUACAUUGGCGUUGCGUGGACGUAUAGCUACACUUAGCUUUACAACUUUUCAUAGCGAAUGAGAUGUCAAGUCUUUCGUAUUGUGUUGAGUACAUUGAUGCAUCUAAUUGUACUUAGAUGGGAACUCCAUCUCUUAACACAUAUUUGUCAUCUUGCUUUAGACAAAACAACGGAUCUCUCUUUAGAGUAAAGACUUUGACUAAUCAUGGGUGUAUAUGUAGGCCUCACUUUCGUUAGAGCGCCUAAGCCGAUUGAUAGAGACCGUGUCUUAUCAAUACAGUCAUCGAGUGUCUUAUCGAGACCGUGUCUUCCCAAGAUCUUUUUCUUCGGAUGUUGAUACAUAUUGGCAUCUCUUGAUCCAUCAAGAGUCCAUGUAAAUCCGGAAUGAACACGCAAAUGCAUAAUUCACCAUAUCCCUUCCAAAUCAAGUAGAGUCCAUGUGCGUUUCAAUACAUUUAG
rnacentral:lncRNA from 1 species